UACGGGGGGAGCAAGCGUUGUUCGGAUUUACUGGGCGUAAAGGGCUCGUAGGCGGUUUGUCACGUCGGGAGUGAAAACUCAGGGCUCAACCCUGAGCCUGCUUCCGAUACGGGCAGACUAGAGGUAUGCAGGGGAGAACGGAAUUCCUGGUGUAGCGGUGAAAUGCGCAGAUAUCAGGAGGAACACCGGUGGCGAAGGCGGUUCUCUGGGCAUUACCUGACGCUGAGGAGCGAAAGGGUGGGGAGCGAACAGG
rnacentral:rRNA from 1 species